rnacentral:rRNA from 1 species
GUUGCCAGCAGUUCAGUUGGGCACGUCUAGCGAGACUGCCGGUAAUAAACCGGAGGAAGGUGGGGAUGACGUCAAAUCAUCAUGCCCCUUAUGACCUGGGCUACACACGUGCUACAAUGGUUGGUACAACGAGUUGCGAGUCGGUGACGGCGAGCUAAUCUCUUAAAGCCAAUCUCAGUUCGGAUUGUAGGCUGCAACUCGCCUACAUGAAGUCGGAAUCGCUAGUAAUCGCGGAUCAGCACGCCGCGGUGAAUACGUUCCCGGGCCUU